AUGCAAGUCGAGCGGACUUGACGGAAGCUUGCUUCCGUUCAAGUUAGCGGCGGACGGGUGAGUAACACGUGGGUAACCUGCCUGUAAGACUGGGAUAACUCCGGGAAACCGGGGCUAAUACCGGAUAUUCUUUUUCUUCGCAUGAAGAAGAAUGGAAAGGCGGCUUUUAGCUGUCGCUUACAGAUGGACCCGCGGCGCAUUAGCUAGUUGGUGAGGUAACGGCUCACCAAGGCAACGAUGCGUAGCCGACCUGAGAGGGUGAUCGGCCACACUGGGACUGAGACACGGCCCAGACUCCUACGGGAGGCAGCAGUAGGGAAUCUUCCGCAAUGGACGAAAGUCUGACGGAGCAACGCCGCGUGAGUGAAGAAGGUUUUCGGAUCGUAAAGCUCUGUUGUCAGGGAAGAACAAGUACGGAAGUAACUGUCCGUACCUUGACGGUACCUGACCAGAAAGCCACGGCUAACUACGUGCCAGCAGCCGCGGUAAUACGUAGGUGGCAAGCGUUGUCCGGAAUUAUUGGGCGUAAAGCGCGCGCAGGCGGCUUCUUAAGUCUGAUGUGAAAGCCCACGGCUCAACCGUGGAGGGUCAUUGGAAACUGGGAGGCUUGAGUGCAGAAGAGGAGAGCGGAAUUCCACGUGUAGCGGUGAAAUGCGUAGAGAUGUGGAGGAACACCAGUGGCGAAGGCGGCUCUCUGGUCUGUAACUGACGCUGAGGCGCGAAAGCGUGGGGGAGCGAACAGGAUUAGAUACCCUGGUAGUCCACGCCGUAAACGAUGAGUGCUAAGUG
rnacentral:rRNA from 1 species